CCUACGGGCGGCAGCAGUAGGGAAUAUUGCCCAAUGGGGGAAACCCUGAAGCAGCAACGCCGCGUGGAGGAUGAAGGUUUUCGGAUUGUAAACCCCUUUUGUUAGAGAAGAUAAUGACGGUAUCUAACGAAUAAGCACCGGCUAACUCCGUGCCAGCAGCCGCGGUAAUACGGAGGGUGCAAGCGUUACUCGGAAUCACUGGGCGUAAAGAGCGCGUAGGCGGGAUAGCAAGUCAGAUGUGAAAUCCUAUGGCUUAACCAUAGAACUGCAUUUGAAACUGUUAUUCUAGAGUAUGGGAGAGGUAGGUGGAAUUCUUGGUGUAGGGGUAAAAUGCGUAGAGAUCAAGAGGAAUACUCAUUGCGAAGGCGACCUGCUAGAACAUAACUGACGCUGAGGCGCGAAAGCGUGGGGAGCAAACAGGAUUAGAUACCCGAGUAGUC
rnacentral:rRNA from 1 species